GAUGAAGAACGUAGCGAAAUGCGAUAAGUAAUGUGAAUUGCAGAAUUCAGUGAAUCAUCGAAUCUUUGAACGCACAUUGCGCCCGCCAGUAUUCUGGCGGGCAUGCCUGUUCGAGCGACAUUUCAACCAUCAAGCCCCCGGCUUGUGUUGGGGACCUGCGGCUGCCGCAGGCCCUGAAAAGCAGUGGCGGGCUCGCUGUCACACCGAGCGUAGUAGCAUACAUCUCGCUCUGGGCGUGCUGCGGGUUCCGGCCGUUAAACCACCUUCAUAACCCAAGGUUGACCUCGGAUCAGGUAGGAAGACCCGCUGAACUUAAGCAUAUCAAUAAGCGGAGGA
rnacentral:misc_RNA from 1 species